GACGAACCGUGCGAACGUUGUUCGGAAUCACUGGGCUUAAAGGGCGCGUAGGCGGCGGAUCAAGUCCGGGGUGAAAGCCCCCAGCUUAACUGGGGAAGUGCCUCGGAUACUGGUUCGCUCGAGGGAGGUAGGGGUCGCGGGAACGUCCGGUGGAGCGGUGAAAUGCGGUUGAUAUCGGAAGGAACGCCGGUGGCGAAAGCG
rnacentral:rRNA from 1 species